rnacentral:rRNA from 1 species
GAUGAACGCUAGCGGCAGGCCUAAUACAUGCAAGUCGAGGGGUAUAGAGGAGCUUGCUCUUCUAGAGACCGGCGCACGGGUGCGUAACGCGUAUGCAACCUACCUUUAUCAGGGGGAUAGCCCGAAGAAAUUCGGAUUAAUACCGCAUAAAAUCACAGCAUAGCAUUGUGCAAUGAUCAAACAUUUAUGGGAUAAAGAUGGGCAUGCGUGUCAUUAGUUAGUUGGCGGGGUAACGGCCCACCAAGACGACGAUGACUAGGGGAUCUGAGAGGAUGACCCCCCACACUGGUACUGAGACACGGACCAGACUCCUACGGGAGGCAGCAGUAAGGAAUAUUGGUCAAUGGAGGCAACUCUGAACCAGCCAUGCCGCGUGCAGGAAGACGGCCCUCUGGGUUGUAAACUGCUUUUAUUCGGGAAUAAACCUUUUUACGUGUAAGAAGCUGAAUGUACCGAAGGAAUAAGGAUCGGCUAACUCCGUGCCAGCAGCCGCGGUAAUACGGAGGAUCCAAGCGUUAUCCGGAUUUAUUGGGUUUAAAGGGUGCGUAGGCGGCCUAUUAAGUCAUGGGUGAAAGACGGUAGCUCAACUAUCGCAGUGCCCUUGAUACUGAUGGGCUUGAAUGAACUAUAGGUAGGGCGGAAUGUGACAAGUAGCGGUGAAAUGCAUAGAUAUGUCACAGAACACCGAUUGCGAAGGCAGCUUACUAUGGUUUUAUUGACGCUGAGGCACGAAGCGUGGGGAUCAAACAGGAUUAGAUACCCUGGUAGUCCACGCCCUAAACGAUGAAUACUCGCUGUCAGCGAUAUACAGUUAGCGGCUAAGCGAAAGCAUUAAGUAUUCCACCUGGGGAGUACGCCCGCAAGGGUGAAACUCAAAGGAAUUGACGGGGGCCCGCACAAGCGGAGGAGCAUGUGGUUUAAUUCGAUGAUACGCGAGGAACCUUACCCGGGCUUGAAAGUUAGUGAAUUAUCCAGAGAUGGAUAAGUGAGCAAUCACACGAAACUAGGUGCUGCAUGGCUGUCGUCAGCUCGUGCCGUGAGGUGUUGGGUUAAGUCCCGCAACGAGCGCAACCCCUAUGUUUAGUUGCCAGCAUGUUAUGGUGGGGACUCUAAACAGACUGCCUGUGCAAACAGAGAGGAAGGAGGGGACGACGUCAAGUCAUCAUGGCCCUUACGUCCGGGGCUACACACGUGCUACAAUGGUCGGUACAGAGGGCAGCAAGCUGGUAACAGCAAGCCAAUCUCAAAAAGCCGAUCACAGUUCGGAUAGAGGUCUGCAACUCGACCUCUUGAAGUUGGAUUCGCUAGUAAUCGCAGAUCAGCAAUGCUGCGGUGAAUACGUUCCCGGGCCUUGUACACACCGCCC